UACGUAGGGUGCGAGCGUUGUCCGGAAUUAUUGGGCGUAAAGAGCGUGUAGGCGGCCCGAUUAGUCCGCUGUGAAAGUCCAGGGCUCAACCCUGGAAUGCCGGUGGAUACUGUCGGGCUAGAGUCCGGAAGAGGCGAGUGGAAUUCCUGGUGUAGCGGUGAAAUGCGCAGAUAUCAGGAGGAACACCAAUGGCGAAGGCAGCUCGCUGGGACGUGACUGACGCUGAGACGCGAAAGCGUGGGGAGCAAACAGG
rnacentral:rRNA from 1 species